GAAGGUAUACCUCAGCGGAAGAGCUCGUGCUUAGCAUGCAUGAGGUCCUGGGUUCAAUCCCCGGUACUUCCA
rnacentral:tRNA from 1 species